rnacentral:rRNA from 1 species
GUUAAAAAGCUCGUAGUUGGAUUUCUGUUGAGGACGGCCGGUCCGCACUUUGUGCGUGUAUCUGGUUCGGCCUUGGCAUCCUCUUGAGGAACGUUCCUGCGCUUGAUUGCGUGGGGCGGUAUUCAAGACUUUUACUUUGAGGAAAUUAGAGUGUUCACGGCAGGCAAGCGCCUUGAAUACAUUAGCAUGGAAUAAUAAUAUAGGAUCUUGGUUCUAUUUGUUGGUUUCUAGGGCUAAGGUAAUGAUUAAUAGGGAUAAUUGGGGGCAUUUGUAUUAACGCGUCAGAGGUGGAAUUCUUGGAUUGCGUUACGACAAACUACUGCGAAGGCAUUUGCCAAGGAUGUUUUCAUUGAUCAAGAACGAAAGUAUGGGGAUCGAAGAUGAUUAGAUACCGUCGUAGUCUAUACCAUAAACUAUGCCGACUAGGGAUUGGAGGUCGUACUUUUUAUGACUCCUUCAGCACCUUAUGAGAAAUCAAAGUCUUUGGGUUCCGGGGGGAGUAUAGUCGCAAGGCUGAAACU